AUUGAACGCUGGCGGCCGGCCUAACACAUGCAAGUCGAACGAGUGGCGGACGGGUGAGUAAUUUCUGGGAAACUGCCCGAUGGAGGGGGAUAACUACUGGAAACGGUAGCUAAUACCGCAUACCAUCGGAUGUGCCCAGAUGGGAUUAGCUUGUAGGUGGGGUAACGGCUCACCUAGGCGACGAUCCCUAGCUGGUCUGAGAGGAUGACAAGCCACAAUGGAACGGAGACACGGUCCAGACUCCUACGGGAGGCAGCAGUGGGGAAUAUUGCACAAGGGGCGAAAGCCUGAGGCAGCAAUGCCGCGUGUAUGAAGAAGGCCUUCGGGUUGGAAAGUACUGUCAGCGGGGAGGCGUUACUCGCAGAAGAAGCACCGGCUAACUCCGUGCCAGCAGCCGCGGUAAUAC
rnacentral:rRNA from 1 species